GUUAGGUAUAUUGGACAAUGGGCGCAAGCCUGAUCCAGCCAUGCCGCGUGAGUGAUGAAGGCCUUCGGGUUGUAAAGCUCUUUAGUCCACGAAUAUAAUGACUGUAGUGGAAGAAUAAGCCCCGGCUAACUUCGUGCCAGCAGCCGCGGUAAUACGAAGGGGGCGAGCGUUAUUCGGAAUCACUGGGCGUAAAGCGUGCGUAGGCUGUUUUGUAAGUCAGAAGUGAAAGCCCAGGGCUUAACCCUGGAAUUGCUUUUGAAACUACAAGACUCGAAUUCGGGAGAGGAUAGCGGAAUUGUCAGUGUAGCAGUGAAAUGCGUAGAUAUUGACAGGAACACCAGUGGCGCAAGCGGCUAUCUGGACCGAUAUUGACGCUGAGGCACGAAAGCGUGGGGAGCAAACAGGUUUAGAUACCCGGGUAGUCC
rnacentral:rRNA from 1 species